rnacentral:rRNA from 1 species
AACGAACGCUGGCGGCAUGCCUAACACAUGCAAGUCGAACGAGAUCUUCGGGUCUAGUGGCGCACGGGUGCGUAACGCGUGGGAAUCUGCCCUUUGGUUCGGAAUAACAGUUGGAAACGACUGCUAAUACCGGAUGAUGACGAAAGUCCAAAGAUUUAUCGCCAGAGGAUGAGCCCGCGUAGGAUUAGCUAGUUGGUGUGGUAAAGGCGCACCAAGGCGACGAUCCUUAGCUGGUCUGAGAGGAUGAUCAGCCACACUAGGACUGAGACACGGCCCAGACUCCUACGGGAGGCAGCAGUGGGGAAUAUUGGACAAUGGGCGAAAGCCUGAUCCAGCAAUGCCGCGUGAGUGAUGAAGGCCUUAGGGUUGUAAAGCUCUUUUACCCGGGAUGAUAAUGACAGUACCGGGAGAAUAAGCACCGGCUAACUCUGUGCCAGCCGCCGCUGUAA